rnacentral:rRNA from 1 species
AGUCGACUGGAAUUCACCUUCGGGUGAUAGUACGGUGGCGGACGGGUGAGUAACGCGUAAAGAACUUGCCCUCUAGACUGGGACAACUGUUGGAAACGACAGCUAAUACCGGAUAUUAUGAGAUUCUCGCAUGGGAAACUUAUGAAAGGCUAUAUGCGCUAGAGGAGAGCUUUGCGUGCCAUUAGGUAGUUGGUAGGGUAAUGGCCUACCAAGCCGACGAUGGCUAGCCGGCCUGAGAGGGUGAUCGGCCACAGGGGACUGAGACACGGCCCUUACUCCUACGGAGCAGCAGUGGGGAAUAUUGGACAAUGGACCAAAAGUCUGAUCCAGCAAUUCUGUGUGCACGAUG